AAAGUCGUAACAAGGUAACCGUAGGUGAACCUGCGGUUGGAUCAUUAAAAAAUGAACAAACCUGAUCAUCAGCGAACGCCUCGCGUUUGCGAUCGGGAACCCCACAUUUUGUGAACUCUCAAACGUCCGGGCGAGGGUUUAAUUUUGGAAGCGAAUUACCUUUCGGGACUUCGCGACCAGGUUUCUCCGUCAAGGUUGGUCAUUCAACCUCGUGGACAACUCGCCCCACCGCUCCCAUUGGGAUUUCUUCUCUCUCGGAGUGGGUAUCAUUGUCCAACUUUUGAUUUGUGUUAUUUUUACUCUGAGAAUGCCAUCGUGCCAUUGUGCGAUGAUUGGAAACAAAACAUUCAAAAACAACUUUUGGCAACGGAUCUCUUGGCUCUC
rnacentral:misc_RNA from 1 species